rnacentral:rRNA from 3 species
AACGGCCGCGGUAUCUUGACCGUGCAAAGGUAGCAUAAUCAUUAGUCCUUUAAUAUGGGGCUGGUAUGAAGGGUUUAACGAGGAACUAGCUGUCUCAAUUUGAUUUAUUAAAAUUUAGCUUUUUAGUUAAAAGGCUAAAAUUUUGUUGGAAGACGAGAAGACCCUAUAGAGCUUUACAUUUACAUUUUGUAGGAUUAAUUUUGUUUUAUUUAUGUACUUCUUUANUUUAGGUGUUUUGUUGGGGUGACAUUAAAUAUAUAUUUAACUUUUAUUGUUCNGGGGACCAUUUAUUUAUGANAUAUUUGAUCCAUUCUUAAUGAUCUUUAGAAUAAGUUACCUUA